AAACCCGGUACUCGUUAAGGCUGAGCUGUGUUUGGGAGAAUACAUUGUGUCUUCGAUUCGUUGUUUUUACUCUGCCGAGUAAAACCUCUAGCUAGAAAAUCGGUUCCCGUACCGAAAACCGACACAGGUAGUCAAGAUGAGAAUUCUAAGGUGAGCGAGCGAACUCUCGUUAAGGAACUCGGCAAAAUGACCCCGUAACUUCGGGUGAAGGGGUGCUCUUUAGGGUUAACGCCCAGAAGAGCCGCAGUGAAUAGGCCCAAGCGACUGUUUAUCAAAAACACAGGUCUCUGCUAAACCGUAAGGUGAUGUAUAGGGGCUGACGCCUGCCCGGUGCUGGAAGGUUAAGAGGAGUGGUUAGCUUCUGCGAAGCUACGAAUCGAAGCCCCAGUAAACGGCGGCCGUAACUAUAACGGUCCUAAGGUAGCGAAAUUCCUUGUCGGGUAAGUUCCGACCCGCACGAAAGGCGUAACGAUUUGGGCACUGUCUCAACGAGAGACUCGGUGAAAUCAUAGUACCUGGGAAGAUGCAGGUUACCCGCGACAGGACGGAAAGACCCCGUGGAGCUUUACUGUAGCCUGAUAUUGAAAUUCGGCACAGCUUGUACAGGAUAGGUAGGAGCCUUUGAAACGUGAGCGCUAGCUUACGUGGAGGCGCUGGUGGGAUACUACCCUAGCUGUGUUGGCUUUCUAACCCGCACCACUUAUCGUGGUGGGAGACAGUGUCAGGCGGGCAGUUUGACUGGGGCGGUCGCCUCCUAAAAGGUAACGGAGGCGCUCAAAGGUUCCCUCAGAAUGGUUGGAAAUCAUUCAUAGAGUGUAAAGGCAUAAGGGAGCUUGA
rnacentral:rRNA from 1 species